CUGUCAACUAAAAUAGCCUGUGGUUCUGAUUCUGUUUUAGGAUUCAGUCCAGGAGUUACCAUUUCUCAAACUGGGAUGCCAGUGGGUGUGUCCCGCUCAGAUUUUCAUGGGGUCUUAGGAAUGUGUCUCCCCUCUUGAUGUCAAUCUGGCGCCCUGAGGACAGCUUUUUACAUUUUGUUGCUUUCUGCAUCUCUGGACAUAUUGUGGAUGUUUAAUAAUUAUAUUUUUAAUGAUUGAAGGAAUAACACAGAAGGGAAUCCUGCAUUUAUUGAGCAGGGCGUUGGAAUGCAAAACUUUAAGAUACUUUAACUGUGAAAUUCUUGGAAGCAUUCAUCAUCCUGUGGAAAGCUAAAUUCAAUGAGGUCAGGAAAUCCAAAUGCAGGAAGAAAAAUGAAAACUUCAGCUAAAAUCAUUACAGUGGUUAAGACAUAUGACAAACU
rnacentral:lncRNA from 1 species